rnacentral:lncRNA from 1 species
GGAGGUUCCCAGGCUAGAGGUUGAACUGGAGCUACAGCUGCUGGCCUGUACCACAGUCAGAGCAACGCUGGAUCUGAGCCAUGUCUGAGACCUACACCACAGCUCGUGGCAGCCAGAUCCUUAACCCACUGAUUGAGGCCAGGGAUCGAACCUGUGUCCUCAUGGAUACUAGUCAGAUCUGUUUCCACUGAGCUACGACAGGAACUCCUUAACUUUGCCUUUUCAUUGCUUUUACCAACUGUAAGGUCUAUUAUGCGGGUUGCCAGACAGGUUCAAUAUCAGCCCAUUGACUUGAGGCCUUAAAAAAAAGCAAGCAGAAACACAUUUUACAUACAUUUCCUGAGAAAUGCAAUAUCAAUGUGACAAUAAUAAAGUUCCAAUAAUAACAUCCUCUAGGUAUGCAGCCUCUCUUCCACACAUCUCAACUCUGAAUAAUCUCACAAAACAUUCUAUCACAUUUGAAUAAAAUCCCCUGAAAACUAUGAUUUUGCUCUUGAAUGUUGGAUAUUGCCAGCAGCACUCAGGCUGCCCCCAGUCUGCCUUCAGGAGAAGAUACUAAGUCCUGGCUGAUGCCAAGUACUGCAAAGCACAGAUGAGUGUUUCAAGCAGGGGUGGAGAAUUCUUUACAACUCAGGUAAGAAAAUAUUUGUAAAGCAAACAUAAAGCACCGAAGCACAUAAUUUGAAAGUAAAUUGAACUUCCUAAAAUCACAUGAAAAAAUUUUCUCUAAACAUCCUAUUUCCUGCUUUAUGUCACUGUAAUAAAGCUCAAUGGGAAUGUUUUUGCUAUUUUUGCCUUCUAGAUUUCAAAGAGAAUAUCUCUUUUGGGGAGAGAAUUGCUUUCCUGUUUUGACUAUGCAAGCCCUGGUGAGGGUCACCUUUUUUUCUUUGGGACACGCUGGGUUGUCAGUGAUUUAGUGUGCAUGUGCAACACUGGAGCUGUUAAACGUUUACAACUAAGGGAAAAAGAAAACUUUGCUAGGCGCAGCUUUCUAUAGCUGAGUUUGUCUCACAUUAUUCAUACAAAUGCAUACUGUGGCCUAUAACAAACAUAACAAUAAAAGUUUGGAUAUAUUUUCAAUCAAGAAAGUAAAAUAAAGGAAAUAACCCUAGUCAAAUUAUUUCAGCUUGCCCCACAAAAUCAGGAAAAGGAGGCUUGAUGAAUAAAAGCAGCAGCACUUGUCUCUUCACAACUUGAAGCUUACUCAUCGAGGGAAGAAUUAAAGAGAAACUUAUAAAAUCAAUACUGCAUUUAUUCUCAUAUUCUCCAAUUUUCUUAAUUUGAAAUUAGAAUGAAUACAAAAGAUGUUCACAUUUGUUUUCAUAUUCAUGACACUCCCUUUCUUGCCCUAUGGACGCAGAAAGCUGCUGAAACCCUCUAUGGCCUUAGUAUAUCCAAACAACAUUUGGUAGCAGCUUA